rnacentral:rRNA from 1 species
UACGGGGGGGCAAGCGUUGUUCGGAAUUACUGGGCGUAAAGGGCUCGUAGGUGGCCAACUAAGUCAGACGUGAAAUCCCUCAGCUUAACUGGGGAAGCUGCCGUUCUGAUAACUGGAUGGCUUGAGUUUGGGAGAGGGAUGCGGAAUUCCAGGUGUAGCGGUGAAAUGCGCAGAUAUCAGGAGGAACACCGGUGGCGAAGGCGGGUUGCUGGGCUGACACUGACGCUGAGGAGCGGAAAGCCAGGGGAGCAAACGGG